UGGGUAACCUGCCUCAAAGAGGGGAAUAGCCUCCCGAAAGGGAGAUUAAUACCGCAUAAUAUGUUUUAGUCGCAUGACUUAAACAUCAAAGGAUUUUCUUUUAAGAAAUUCCACUUUGAGAUGGACCCGCGGCGCAUUAGCUAGUUGGUGAGGUAACGGCUCACCAAGGCAACGAUGCGUAGCCGACCUGAGAGGGUGAUCGGCCACAUUGGAACUGAGACACGGUCCAGACCUCCGUAGGGAGG
rnacentral:rRNA from 1 species